rnacentral:tRNA from 1 species
GGGAAUGUAGUUGAACUAGAGUUCUUACCUUUUAAUAAGUGAUUUGGGUUCAAAUCCCAACAUUCUCU